GAUGAACGCUGGCGGCGUGCUUAACACAUGCAAGUCGAACGAUGAAGCCCAGCUUGCUGGGUGGAUUAGUGGCGAACGGGUGAGUAACACGUGAGUAACCUGCCCUUGACUCUGGGAUAAGCCUGGGAAACUGGGUCUAAUACUGGAUAUGACUUCUCAUCGCAUGGUGGGGGGUGGAAAGAUUUAUUGGUCUUGGAUGGACUCGCGGCCUAUCAGCUUGUUGGUGAGGUAAUGGCUCACCAAGGCGACGACGGGUAGCCGGCCUGAGAGGGUGACCGGCCACACUGGGACUGAGACACGGCCCAGACUCCUACGGGAGGCAGCAGUGGGGAAUAUUGCACAAUGGGCGCAAGCCUGAUGCAGCGACGCCGCGUGAGGGAUGACGGCCUUCGGGUUGUAAACCUCUUUCAGUAGGGAAGAAGCGAGAGUGACGGCACCUGCAGAAGAAGCGCCGGCUAACUACGUG
rnacentral:rRNA from 1 species